rnacentral:rRNA from 1 species
AUAUUGCACAAUGGGGGAAACCCUGAUGCAGCAACGCCGCGUGAGCGAAGAAGUAUUUCGGUAUGUAAAGCUCUAUCAGCAGGGAAGAAAGUGACGGUACCUGAGUAAGAAGCCCUGGCUAACUACGUGCCAGCAGCCGCGGUAAUACGUAGGGGGCAAGCGUUAUCCGGAUUUACUGGGUGUAAAGGGAGCGUAGACGGCGGCGCAAGUCUGAUGUGAAAGCCUGGGGCUCAACCCCGGAACUGCAUUGGAAACUGUGCUGCUGGAGUGCCGGAGAGGUAAGCGGAAUUCCUAGUGUAGCGGUGAAAUGCGUAGAUAUUAGGAGGAACACCAGUGGCGAAGGCGGCUUACUGGACGGUAACUGACGUUGAGGCUCGAAAGCGUGGGGAGCAAACAG